UACGAAGGGGGCUAGCGUUGCUCGGAAUCACUGGGCGUAAAGCGCACGUAGGCGGCUUUCUAAGUCAGGGGUGAAAUCCUGGAGCUCAACUCCAGAACUGCCUUUGAUACUGGAGAGCUGGAGUCCGGGAGAGGUGAGUGGAACUCCGAGUGUAGAGGUGAAAUUCGUAGAUAUUCGGAAGAACACCAGUGGCGAAGGCGGCUCACUGGCCCGGUACUGACGCUGAGGUGCGAAAGCGUGGGGAGCAAACAGG
rnacentral:rRNA from 1 species